CCUAUAUCAGCUCAGUCCACACACAGUCCCUAAUCAGCCCAGCUCACACACAGUCAUAGAUCAACCCAACUCACACACAGUCAUAGAUCAACCCAGCUCACAUACAGUCCUAUCUAAACUCAGCUCACACAGUCAUAGAUCAACCCAGCUCACAGCCUCACACACAGUCCUAGAUCAGCUCAGUCCACACACAGUCCCUAAUCACCCCAACUCACACACAGUCAUGGAUCAAACAGCUCACACUCAGUCCUAUUCCAGCUCAUACACAGUCCUAGAUCAGCCAUCUUGCAAACAGCCCUAGCUCACACAGACUCCUAGAUUUAAUAAACUCUUCACUUCACUCUUCACUGGUGUAAUUAUUAAGUCUUAAAUAUGCCUUUUAUCUGUUUAGGUUUGACUGUGUGAUCAUUCUCAGUGAUCUAAACAUGGCAUAUCUGUACUGGGACAGUGAAACAUAAAUAUGUCAGACCAUAUCUGUAUAAUAUCAUAUACUGGAUUAAAAAGCAAGUGGUCCAUUUAAUGAAGGAAACAGCAAAAUUCAGGAUCAACAUGUCGGUAAAAAAAUUAUUCUAAAUGCAGACUUUUGUUUGUUUGCUUGUUUUUAAAACUGUCUCUGUUUUCUUUCACUUGCUGUUCAGUAAGUACACCGUGAUGGUUUAAUUCAUUUAAUUUAAUUCAUUAUAUGCCAAGCUAUUUGGGCCAUAAUAGCCAAAUUAAAAAACAAAACAAAAAACCCUCCAGAUUUCAGUUUUCAUAUCAGGAAUAAAUCACCAUUGAAAUAUAGACAGACUUACAAUAAUGUGGCAGUUUGUUACAUAGAUACUGGAUGUUUAAUAUUGUUACAUAUUGACAUUGUAUAUAAUGUAUUCGGGGCUUAUUAAACAGACACAGUCAGUGAACUAUCGUGUUUUGUAUUUUAUUUGAAAAUGGUCAAUAUUCGCC